AGUAAGAUACGUACUUAUAUAUAAAUAUACUUACUUAAUCGCAACGAACAUAAUGCAAAAUCGGUGAAUUACCACACGAAAUCAGUUGUCAACGAUUUUAUUCGGGUUAUCGGAAUAAAGCUGUCGAUUUACAUCUGUUCCAAAUUCACCUACAAGGAAGAGGAUGAAAUUUUCUUGAAGUGAUUUAAAUAUUGAAAAUCUGUCGCAGCAACGCCUCCUCAGUUAAACAACAACAAAACUGGGCAACCUGUAGAUGAAAGCCUCACUCAAAACACCACAACUCAACCUACAUCCAACAAUAAAAUCUCACCAAUUGGCAAUUACCAUGCUGCUGCCAAAAGCAAACAUUCGUCAACGUCACUGGCCAGUGACCUACCAAUGGCGUGCGACAGUGUCGCUUGGUGCCGCACCCAACACACACUCUCAUCCUCCCGAAUCGCACACCACCGGAAAUGCAUUUCACUCGGCAAAAGAUACGAAAUACUUAAAAAGUUCCUUGGCUAUGCCUUGCACUCACGUGACUUGUGUUGAUGAGUGGCGUAGAAGAGUAGAUGAGAGAAGAAGAGAAAGAGUGUAAGUAAGUAGCGUAAUAUUUAGUAACUAUAUAUGU